UGCAGACGCCAUUUACACAUUAGAGCGAAAAUUUCCCGUACAGCCGCCAUCCUAUUCCAUCCCCGUUCGUGAGCUUGUUUUAUAACCGGAAAAUUAACUAAUGCUUUGAAAAACGUAAAACAUCUACUUUUUUCGUAACAAUAAAUGAAAUACUCAGCAGAUAAACAGAGCAGCAAAGUGAAGGGACAAAAUAGUAAAAAAUUCGUCAAACUUCUUUCGGGCUUCUCACGCAUCUAAGGAAAACAUUCAUGCUCAUUGACUGAGCGGUGGCGGUACUUCUACAACCCGAAAUUUAUAUCCGCUAAAUUGAUGGCGAACAAGUUGAACACUUUCACUACAUAGGACGAUCAAGAAUGAUAGAAUAAAGUAUUCUGUAUACCGUGUGGACUAUUCUGUCGAAGCAAUAUCUAUUUCAAUGAAAUAGUGGGGAAGUCACAAAGAGAGUUAUCUGCACUUUUAAAAUUACUCAUAAAUGAAUAGAAGAGCCAAAAUGGACAACACCGUCCAUAUCCAAUUUUUCGGGAGGGCCAACUCCUCCAGCACCAUUUUUAAAAUUAUUAAAAUUAAAAAAAAAAAUUUUGUUUUUUAAUUGUUGUAUGCAAAAGAUUUUAAUAAAAAGCCUAAAAAAUUUUAA